rnacentral:siRNA from 1 species
AGGAUCCCAAUAACAAAUCCUUGC